rnacentral:tRNA from 1 species
AGCAGUAUGGCUCAGUGGAAAGAGCCCUGACUUGGGAGUCAGAGGUCAUGGGUACGACUCCCAGCUCUGCCA